CGGGGCGUAGCUCAGCCUGGUAGAGCGCUCGCUUUGGGAGCGAGAAGUCGCAGGUUCGAAUCCUGUCGCCCCGACCA
rnacentral:tRNA from 2 species